UACGGGGGGGGCGAGCGUUGUUCGGAAUUACUGGGCGUAAAGGGCUCGUAGGCGGCCUACUAAGUCGGACGUGAAAUCCCUCGGCUCAACCGGGGAACUGCGUCUGAUACUGGAAGGCUUGAAUCCGGGAGAGGGACGUGGAAUUCCAGGUGUAGCGGUGAAAUGCGUAGAUAUCUGGAGGAACACCGGUGGCGAAGGCGGCGUCCUGGACCGGUAUUGACGCUGAGGAGCGAAAGCCAGGGGAGCAAACGGG
rnacentral:rRNA from 1 species